AACUUUCGAUGGUAUGAUAUAGGCCUACCAUGGUGGGACGGGUAACGGGUUAUUAUCAUCCGAUUCCGGAGAGGGAGCCUGAGAAACGGCUACCACAUCCAAGGAAGGCAGCAGGCGCGCAAAUUACCCUUCCCCCACGCGGAGAGGUAGUGACCAUGAAUAACGCUACGGGGCUCUUUAGGCUCUCGUAAUUGGAAUGAUUACAAUUUAAAUCCCUUAACGAGGAACAAUUGGAGGGCAAGUCUGGUGCCAGCAGCCGCGGUAAUUCCAGCUCCAAUAGCGUAUAUUAAAGUUGUUGCAGUUAAAAAGCUCGUAUGUGAAUUUCGGGAUUUGCGUAUCGGUCGUGCCUUAAGUUUCAUGAACUGGUGUAGUGAAUUUCUCACCUUCUGGAAAACCGUGAUGUCCUUAAUUGGGUGCCACGAGGAACCAGGACCUUUACUUUGAAAAAAUUAGAGUGUUUAAAGCAGGCAUUUUUGCUUGAAUACAUUAGCAUGUGAUAAUACAAUAGGACGGCCUGAUUCUAUUUUGUUGAUUUCUAGGAUCACCGUAAUGAUUAAUAGGGAUAUGUGCCUCCAUUAGUAUUCAAUUGUGNAGAGGUGANANUCNCGAAUUUAUUGAAGACUACCUACUGCGAUUGCAUGUGCCUAGCACGUUUUCACUAAUCUGGAACGAUAGUUAGCCUAUCGAAGACCAUCAGAUACCGNCGCAGUCUUAACGAUACACUAUGCCGACCANGAAUCAGACGAUGGUUAUUUUUUACUGACUCGUUUGGCACCUUACCGAAAACCAAAGUGUUUGGGUUC
rnacentral:rRNA from 1 species